GUCGGGACCUAAGGCGAGGCCGACAGGCGUAGUCGAUGGACAACCGGUUGAUAUUCCGGUACCCGCUUUGAAGCGCCAAACAUCGAAUCCUCUGAUGCUAAGGCCGUGAAGCCGCCCUGGAGUCUUCGGACAAAGGGGAGUGGUGGAGCCGCUGAUCCAAGGUGGUAGUAGGUGAGUGAUGGGGUGACGCAGGAAGGUAGUCCAGCCCGGGCGGUGGUUGUCCCGGGGUAAGGGUGUAGGACGCACGGUAGGCAAAUCCGUCGUGCAUGAAGUCUGAGACCUGAUGCCGAGCCGAUUGUGGUGAAGUGGAUGAUCCUAUGCUGUCGAGAAAAGCCUCUAGCGAGUUUCAUGGCGGCCCGUACCCUAAACCGACUCAGGUGGUCAGGUAGAGAAUACCGAGGCGUUCGGGUGAACUAUGGUUAAGGAACUCAGCAAAAUGCC
rnacentral:rRNA from 1 species